rnacentral:rRNA from 1 species
GUCUUCGAGUCGUUGAUUUCACACUGCCGAGAAAAGCCUCUAGAUAGAAAAUAGGUGCCCGUACCGCAAACCGACACAGGUAGUCAAGAUGAGAAUUCUAAGGUGAGCGAGCGAACUCUCGUUAAGGAACUCGGCAAAAUGACCCCGUAACUUCGGGAGAAGGGGUGCUCUUUAGGGUUAACGCCCAGAAGAGCCGCAGUGAAUAGGCCCAAGCGACUGUUUAUCAAAAACACAGGUCUCUGCUAAACCGUAAGGUGAUGUAUAGGGGCUGACGCCUGCCCGGUGCUGGAAGGUUAAGAGGAGUGGUUAGCUUCUGCGAAGCUACGAAUCGAAGCCCCAGUAAACGGCGGCCGUAACUAGAACGGUCCUAAGGUAGCGAAAUUCCUUGUCGGGUAAGUUCCGACCCGCACGAAAGGCGUAACGAUUUGGGCACUGUCUCAACGAGAGAC